UAUUCAGAAAUGUAACAGUAUCACAAUUGUAUCUGAUGUUGGUUUUAUUAGUAAUAUUACCUGUUGUUUUGCUCCUGUGGAUUAGACUGGUUUAGGAACUACUACAUGACUUCCUUUGAAAAUUAUAAGCUAUGAAUGAAAGCUCACCUUACUACAAGAGAAACCUGAUGCUCAGGUUUUGAUCUAAUCUUUUUAUUUGCUGUUAUUAUUUUACAUUUUUUUAAGUUGAUUUAUUAAACAACAAGGAAACAGCCCUAAAAACAGAACACAAACUGAAUGAGAAAUAUUAGUGAGAGGCGUGUUUGCCCUUGUGUCUGCUUCCACAUUUUUCUUUAACAAUAUCACUGAGCCGAGGUCAUUUUCAAUGAAAAGCUUUAACCAGAAAAGGCACAACUGUACUGGCUAGACAAAAAUGCAUUCAAAAAUGUCCAUUCCCCAAACCCUGAGUAUUUCCCACACAAGUAUUUAUUCUUAGUUGCUCGUGUUUAGGUUGUUAUUUAUACAGCUGGCACCUACUGUGUGUUAUAUACAGAUAUUUUUUUGGCUGCUAUCACAUUUAAUAUAGGUAUAAAUAAAAUAAACACAAUGAAUGAUGUCAGUUUAUAUAUUCAUGUCAAAUACAGUUUUUCUCAACUGCUUUCAGUCAUUUCUCAGAUCAGAAUUGAAGUUUGCUGAUCUCCAAGUGCAUUUCUCAAAACAACACGUACAAACUGCACAACAUAGUGGAUAACCAGAAAAUACGCGUCACCUGCUCAAAAUGCUUUGUCUAUCAUGCAAAAGCGUGUUUUUUCAUCAAUCAUUGUGUCAGAGGCAGCAGAAUCCCAUGUCAUUUUUUCAACGAUGUGAACGUGACAGGCAAAAUUAUUAGUCAUGUUGUCAGUAGAACAUCAUACUCAGUUUUAGUUAUUUAAAUUAUACUCAAGUCAGGUUUUGAUGACUAGAAACUACUAAAUUACCGUACUGGUGUGUGUCAUAAUUUACAGUGUCCCUCUGGUAAAAAAAAAAGAAGUUACUUUUGCAAACCAUUGUGCAUCAACCAGGUGUUACAGUAAUUUACAUGGUAUGAAUAGAUAAUUUUUCUGAUUGAUUCCAUCUAACCUCAGUUAACCAAUCAACAUCGACCCACGUAACAGUAUAUGGAAGAAUCGAAACAAAAGAUCACACUGUAUUCACAUUUUUACUGUACUGUCAAUAGUGGUACUUACAUACAGAAAACAAAGAAAACUACACAUAGGCUAUUUACCAACAAAUGAAAACCUGAAAAAGACAAAGUGGGAAAAACUAUACAUGUACAGAAGGUAAAGGUGAAAUUAUAUGGCAGUUUUCCUAUGCGUCAUGUCGGCCCUCUCUGUUGGGCCACAGAUUCUCAUCCACAUCACAACAUAUAUUUUCCCUUGCUUUGCAUGGUGGAAAGAAUCUUCUUGAGUGCCUAAUCCAGCCUCUGCAUGCAUCUGCUGAGAUGUCCUCACAUGCUCAAUCCAUGGCAGCCAGCAGUGUCAUCCGUAUAUGUGGCUGAUGAUCAUAAACCUUCCACCUCCAAGCGUAGAAAAACUCUUCAAUUGGGUUCAGGAACGUGGAGUAGGUUGGAAGGAAUUCAAUCAGCAUCCUGCGGUGGUGGACAAACCACUGCCUGAUGUUGUCAGAGUGAUGGAAACUGACAUUGUCACAAAUUACUACAUACUUUGGUAGAUCAUCUCGAUUGAGUUCCCUCUCAUCUUCAGGAAUGACAUUUCUAUAGAGAUUGUCUAAGAAUGUAAGGAGAUGCUGUGUGUUGUACGGUCCCAUAAUAGGAAUAUGAGCUAGCACACCUUGGUCUGAAAUAGUAGCACACAUAGUGAUGUUUCCUCCACGUUGGCCUGGGACAUCAACAGUAGCUCUCUGUCUGAUUAGAUUUCUACCACACCUUCUGCCUUUGGCCAGGUUGAAGCCAGCCUCAUCCAAGUAUAUGAAGUUGUGAGUAAAGUAAGUCUACAGUAUUACUUUACUAUACAGUACAUUACAUACCUGUUCUCUCUACGAAAUGUUUGAAUUAUUGAUGACACAGUUGUUCUUCCAACAUUUGGCUGCACCCUUCGACCAGCCUCUUCCAUUGUAAGGCCAUGAUUGAUAACGUGAUCCACCAGUGUGGCCCUGAUUUCAUCUGGAAUUGCUGUGUAUCUUUGGCAUCUUAUACCUCUUCCUCUUCUAUGUCUCUGUACUCUUCCACCACGCAGUCUUAAUCCUCUUCUUCUUCUUUCAGCUUCCAUUAUCAGAAAGGGGAACACUUGUGUUGUGCACUGUAUAUAUAUAUAUAUGUGACCCUGCCAAAUCAGUCUUCAUAAGUUGCACCUCUAAGCUAUUUCACAGAACUGGUUGAUCAUUGGUUAGUCUAGAGUUGCACAUGUUUCUCUUUGUUAACGAAGGUGAAGACUCACCUGAGAGCAAUUUGUCAAUUCUGGACAUAUUUCUUAGCAAACAUGUACUCACAAUUUGUAGAAAUCUGUACAGACAUACAAUUCUGAGAACAAGUUCACUCAUUUUGAUAGUACCUUCCAACCUGAGAAAAAGUCUAAUUGGUUUGGUGGUUGUGACAUUUCAGCUAAGAACCAGGACAAGUUAUUUUGCACAGCAGGACAAAAGCAACAAGAAUUGUCAAAAGCAGCUGACAGAUGUACAGAACCAUUUGCAUGUUGUCCAAAAGCAAUUGCAAAUUGAUGAAAACAACAAGACAUUGCUGAUAUGAUGUGAAGAACUGACAACAGGUUCUGACGGUGGGACGAGUAGUUUUGAGAUGCAGUUCUGUUGUGAGAAAUGACUGAAAGCAGUUGAGAAAAACUAUUAUAUUAUUAAGCUGCAUGAUCUCCAACAUGUCCUCUCUCUGUCUUUUUCUGUCUUCAAUUCCUGGAAAUUCGACCUUACUGUAAAAAGAGGCAAUGCAGGAACUCAUACAGCCAAAGGAAGCAAGUGUUUGGCUUCAUGUGCUCAGAUGAAACACAAUGGCAACUUCCUGUUUUCUUUCUAUUUAAAAGAGCUUCUCACAAUACAUGACACAGAAGUUGAGAUACAGAAGAAUCUUUAAACCUGCAGAAUAAGGAGCUUUGACUGCAAACAGUAAGCCUGUGUUUAUAUGUUUGCUGGGAGAUUAGAAGGACUAUGCAGGAGGACAUAUUAUAACAUCAGCUUUUACUACCACCAAAGACCUGAGUGGACUAUUUAGGCUGUGCGUUAGAUUUAUAUUGUACAGAUUGGAUGAAAGUGGUGUAUCUAUGAAGUACGGGCGUGCAGCGAUGGAGAACUUCAGUGAAGAUGGCUUUGAAAGUUGUGAACAGUUUGCGGAUUGGUCCACCUGUAGCUCUGAGCACUGGGAUGAGAAUCACAGGGAUGGCACUGGAUUUGGGGACUGGACAAGUUUUAAAGAUGCUUUCAGUGAAGAAAGUGAUUCUGCAAAUGUAUCAUCUCAGAAAGGACAAACUUGUAUCCAUGCAGACAAGAACAUAGAAUUACCUCAUCCCAGACUCAAGAAGCUUGAAAUUCCCUCUGCUGCUCUCAUCCAAACUAAGUUGUGUGUUUGUGUAGAUAGUGAGAGGUGAUGUACCCUGGACUGUAAUUCAUGAUUGCUUUCAUGUUGAUGAGAUGGUGAGAGAUACAGGAAUGAACAUUCUUCCGCUGUCACAGCUACUGCACAAUUCCUCACACACACCUCCUAUGGAAGCAGUACAAUUACAAAAGGGUGCCAACUUCUACCACCAGUUGUUGAAGCCUAACAGCAUCAUGGGUUCUAAACUCAAUUUGCAUUCCCACAAGCAGCUCACAGACACACUACAGCUCAAACAAUCUAACACUUUACAGAACACAGAAUUGCCUCACCUUGGGUCCGAGAAGCCUAAAAGUCCAUCUGCUGAUCUUAUCCAAACUAAGCUAACGGCACCCACACGCUGUCAGAAUUCACAUGGAUUCUUCUACCAGAUCUCACACCAGUGGCUCAGUCAGUACAGUUUGAGAUUCAAGAAUCAUCAUGACAAAAAAGACCUGCUUUAAUGACACACUGCCUACUACAGAAAAACACUAAUACAUGUAUUCACUAGCAUGAAUGCAUUCCAUAUUUUGUUAAAAAAAUUUUAAACACAUUGCAUGGGACUAAUUCAGCGCUUAAUUUAUGAACAUGUGAACAACAUGUGAACUACUGUGGACCAAGCUCGCACAAUGUUCUGUAAAAAAUUAUGCCAAAUGAAAGAAGGAAGUUUUCACUGUCAGUGGCCAUGAGAAAGUUAGCUUUUGUGGCUAAGUUAUUUGUCACUUCUUCUUCUUCUUUUUUUUUUUUUUUUU